UACGUAGGGUGCAAGCGUUAUCCGGAAUUAUUGGGCGUAAAGAGCUCGUAGGCGGUUUGUCGCGUCUGCUGUGAAAACUGGAGGCUCAACCUCCAGCCUGCAGUGGGUACGGGCAGACUAGAGUGCGGUAGGGGAGAUUGGAAUUCCUGGUGUAGCGGUGGAAUGCGCAGAUAUCAGGAGGAACACCGAUGGCGAAGGCAGAUCUCUGGGCCGUAACUGACGCUGAGGAGACGAAAGCAUGGGGGAGCGAACAGG
rnacentral:rRNA from 1 species